CUGGCUGGAGCAUGGGGCCCUGUGGGGGAGUGGCCCCACAGCCUCCCCAGGCCCGCCCCACAGGCAGCCCGGGAGAGACGCAGCCGCUGCGGCCAGAGCCGGGGCCAGGAACGGGGCUGUGGCCCUGCGGAGAGCGGCCCCACAGCCCCCAGGCCCGCCCCGUGAAGCAGCCCGUGCUCAAGCCCAUUCUGCCCAAGUAGCCAAGCCAGGCUAGGCCGAGGGGCAUGGGGUGCCCUGUGAACUGGGCCAAAGGGCAGCCAGAUCAAGGAUGCUGGAGCAGGUGGAUGAAUGAAAGAGACAGACAUCAGUGGGAGGCCCAGCAGGGAGUGGGGUCCUGCAGGAGAUUUGCGGCCUGUGGAGAGAGGAGCCCACGCCAGAGCAGGUUAUUCCCGGGUCUUAGUGAUUUUAGUGGUUGCCUAGAAUCCAGCCAAGGUCAACCCACGACAGCUACAAAGAUGAUGAGAAGAUUGGAACAUCUGUAUUAUGAGGACAGCCUGAAGCCGUCUCAAGAAGGGAUGUCUGAGAUUGGACCUCAUCACUGUCUAUAAGUAUCUGAAGAGAGGAUGUCAAGAGGAUGGAGCCAGGCUCUUCUCAGUGAUGCCAAGCAAUAGGACAAGAGGCAAUGGGCAGAAACUGAUGUACAGGAAGUUCCACUUGAACAUAGGGAAGAACUUUGCUGUGCAGGUGACAGCACACUGAAACAAAUUGCACGGAGAGGUUGUAGAGUCUUUCUCACUAGGGAUAUUCAAGAAUCUUCUGGAUGCAACCAUGUGCCAUGUGCUCCAGGAUGACCCUGCUUGAGCAGGGAGGUUUGACCAGAAGACCUAUUGGUGAUCCCUUCCAACCUGCCCCAUCCUGUGCUUCUGUGUUAAAAAAGAAAGAAUUUUCCAGAUAUAUAUAGAUAAACCUGUCUAAUGAACAGCAUUUUUAGCUCUGCUGAAAUCAGUAAUGAACGUCCAUGCCAGUUAGUGAGAGAAAUUUUAACAGCGAUAGGUCCUUUGAUAAUAAACAUUGCUACUGAAAAAAGUA